UGUGGAGGUGGGAGACAGUGAUCUUGAUGAUCCUGACCCUGUGCAGGCCUGGGCUGAUGUUGUUAUAAAGUCGACGGUAGUGUACCGUGAGGUUCCAGGCCUUCACAUUCGCUCACUACUUCCUCGCUGACUCAUCCAGAGCAACUUCCGGGCCUGCAAGCCCUGUUCAUGGUAAGUGCCCUAAAAUGGUACAGAAGUACCUGUUUUGUUUUUUUUUUUUUUUUAAAGAUUUUAUUUUUUCCUUUUUCUCCCCAAAGCCCCCCGGUACAUAGUUGUAUCUUCUUCGUUGUGGGUCCUUCUAGUUGUGGCAUGUGGGACGCCACCUCAGCGUGGUCUGAUGAGCAGUGCCAUGUCCGCGCCCAGGAUUCGAACCAACGAAACACUGGGCCGCCUGCAGCGGAGCGCGCGAACCCAACCACUCGACCACGGGGCCAGCCCCCAGAAACUAGGAAUGGUGCAAAGAUGCUGAGGAAAUUGGAGUCAUUUGGAAACUUCUGUUCUAAGGGGAAGGUUCUAUAUGUCAGAAGAUGCCAAAAGGUCUCAAGAAGAUUACAUGGUACCUCUAGAGGUGUUCGAUGUGUUGACAAAUUCACACCUCCUAUAUUCCCUGAUUCUAUUAAGAAUCCUUAGGGCAGCUGGACGGCAGAGCCACUGAGAGCAUUGCAAGAAAAGCCAACGGGGUGCCAGGCCAGUCAUCGCUGAUGGGGGAACGUGUCAAGGAUUAGGAAGGUCUUAUGCAAACUGCGGAGAGACAACAGGGAGGCACCUGCCUUGAGAAAAGCCCCGCUCCUUUGUCCCUGGUUGCUUCAUAUGACCAGUAUCUGCCUGCCCCGAACACCUGCCCGUCCAAAUACAAUACUUAGAAUGACCUUUGUUUAUUCGCUCCUAUAGUCAUUAUUCUCUUCACCUAAAAGGACAGGACACAAUGAACUUAUUACUCAGCUUGGCUGUUCACAGUCACUAAUCCUAGCGAUGAUGUCAACCUGCCCCAUCUUUGAUCAAAGAGUACACAACAAAAUCUGCCAGGAAGAUUUUUAGGCCUGACUCAUUGAGAAAUGAAAAUAAUUAUAAAAGUAAUAUGUAAAAUUUAAAGUACAUGAAUUCCACCCUGAUAUAUAUAUAUAUAUAUAUAUAUAUAUACUUAGCUAGCAGGAUGCUGUAGGGCAACUUCUUGCUUCCCUUUAGGACCUAGACUCAGUCCCUCAACUUUUGACGGCUGCAGAUGGUUCACAGCUGAGUCCCUGUCUGAGCGUUGCACUGGGUAAGAGAGCGUCUGCUCCCGCGAGCUUAUGCCUCCUCCCCAGGAGCAGCCCACACCCAGAGACUGGUUAAUGCAGGGGUAUGAAGACUUAGCCCCCUGGUCUUGAUAUAGGACAACUUCUGAAAGGCCGUCUCAGCUCCAGAAAUUUUCGUAGGACCGGCUGAGCUCUCUGCUGCAACUGCUCUGCGCUCAACUUCUCUCGGCCCAAUUCUGUUUCCUUUCCUUCCUACAAGGAUUGUUCCCAAGAGCACCCCCUGUAAACUUCCUGCGUGCAAUUCUCCACCUCAAACUCUUUUCCAGGAGAACGGAGCUAAGAGAGCACCCGCCCAAAAGGAGAAAAGGUUUUCAUUGAGGAGAAGUUCACUGAGAUAAUUUUCUUACUACUCCUGUUAUUUGUAUAGUAAACCCUACUGAUCAGAAAACUGAGACACCACGUAUGAAAAGACUUCAUACCACAGAAUUGAUGCAAUCUCCUGUUUUUCUUGAAACAUAUGGUUUUCUCAGUCUCUCUCUCAUUGUCCCAGUUUUACUAAAGGUACAGUGUAUCAGGUUUAACUGCUUUUAACAGAAAACUCAAAUAUGACUCUUAAAGAAGAUAAAGUUUGAUUUUUCUCUCUAGUAGAAGUCUACUGAAGACAGUCCAGAGCUGGGAUGGUAGCUCCAUGGUUGUCAGAGACUUAAGUUUGUUAUAUUUUUUCUUCACCCUGUUGAGCCCUUGACCUCCAUCCUCACAACAGCUCAGGAUCCAAAUAGGUGCUGAAGCUCCUGCCAGCAUGUCUGCAGGCAGAAAAAGGAAGAAUGGAAGGGCCAAAAAAAAAAAGUGAUUUCUUUGUAGUUGUCAGCCAUCUUUAAAUAAUAGUUUCAGGGGUCUUGCCCAUAAACUUCCACCUAUAUCUCAUUGGUGACUACUAUUUGCAAGGGUGGAGGGUAAACAUAAUUUUUAGUUGGGUCCAUGCCAACCCUGAUAAAAUAGACAUCAAUUACUGAGGACAAGAGGGGAGAAUGCAAGAGUAGGCAACUGGUAAGCUCCGCCUUACCUAGGUUAAAAGAAAAGUCUCUACUUGAAGAAAUCUAUAUAGGGCAAGAAUGAUAAGCAGCGUCUGACCCUUGGGCUCCAUGUGGGGAGGUAACUGGAAGUGGUGGGAGCUGUGAUGAGCAGGAGCACUCAUCCACCAGGUACAGCUGGAGCCACCCCUGCCAUGUGGGAAUGGAGUCCAGUUGGGUCUGAUCUUCCAAUUUUCCAAGAGAAGCUGGCAAACCAGAUUUUUAUGUGAAUUUUCCCUUUUUUAAAAUCAACAUCCACAUUUUUAUAAAAUUCUGUGUCUGAAUUUUGUAAUCUGUAUCUAACCUCCAGUUUGCAAUCUCUGAUCAAGAAGAGCCAAUUUUCCUUGGGGCAAAACUUCAGGAAAUUUGUGCCACACAGUAAGACGUGGACUCUAUUGCUUUGCAAUCCAAGGUGAGGGGAAAAGAACUUGAAAUGAAGGUACAGGUGGCCAGAUGCAUGGACCAGGGCAAAUACUUACACCCUGUGGGCAGGCAGCCCACCAGCCACCUGGCCCUCAACUUCCCUCUUCAGUCAGAAGGAACUGGCUCAGAAGCCGGGUGUACAGAAUUUUUACAAGCACAAUUCUGGAUAAUUAACCCCUCCUUGCUCUAUAUAAAUGCCUGUGGCACAAACCUCAUCAAAUUCCUUCUACACAUUUGUCCGUUCCUUGCAGCUUUCUCUUUUGACCAGCAGAUGGCAGCAAAUAUUGACCAGUCUUGGGCACUAAUUUACACCUUCAGAGUUGAUGUUCUUUUUGAUGCAUUUUUUUAAUUAUGUCAAUAAAAACAAGGAAAAUCAUCUA
ensembl:lncRNA